GGAGAAGUGGCCGAGUGGUCGAAGGCGGGCGCUUGGAGAGCGUCUGGGCGGCAACGUCCCGUGGGUUCGAAUCCCUCCUUCUCCGCCA
rnacentral:tRNA from 2 species